rnacentral:rRNA from 1 species
GGGCCCGCACAAGCGGUGGAUUAUGUGGUUUAAUUCGAAGCAACGCGCAGAACCUUACCAUCCCUUGACUUCCCUGUCGCGGGCUCAGAGAUGAGCCUUUCAGUUCGGCUGGACAGGUGACAGGUGCUGCAUGGCUGUCGUCAGCUCGUGUCGUGAGAUGUUCGGUUAAGUCCGGCAACGAGCGCAACCCCUGUCUUUAGUUGCCAUCAUUUAGUUGGGAACUCUAAAGAGACUGCCGGUGAUAAGCCGGAGGAAGGUGGGGACGACGUCAAGUCCUCAUGGCCCUUACGGGAUGGGCUACACACGUGCUACAAUGGCAGUGACAAUGGGUUAACCCCAAAAACUGUCUCAGUUCAGAUCGUAGGCUGCAACUCGCCUACGUGAAGGCGGAAUCGCUAGUAAUCG